rnacentral:rRNA from 1 species
UACGGGGGGGGCAAGCGUUGUUCGGAAUUACUGGGCGUAAAGGGCUCGUAGGUGGCCAACUAAGUCAGACGUGAAAUCCCCAGGCUCAACUUGGGAACUGCGUCUGAUACUGGAUGGCUUGAAUUCGGGAGAGGGAUGCAGAAUUCCAGGUGUAGCGGUGAAAUGCGUAGAUAUCUGGAGGAACACCGGUGGCGAAGGCGGCAUUCUGGACCACAACUGACACUGAGAGACGAAAGCCAGGGGAGCAAACGGG